rnacentral:rRNA from 1 species
UACGAAGGGGGCUAGCGUUGUUCGGAAUUACUGGGCGUAAAGCGCACGUAGGCGGAUUGUUAAGUCAGGGGUGAAAUCCCGGGGCUCAACCCCGGAACUGCCUUUGAUACUGGCAUUCUCGAGUCCGGAAGAGGUGAGUGGAAUUCCGAGUGUAGAGGUGAAAUUCGUAGAUAUUCGGAGGAACACCAGUGGCGAAGGCGGCUCACUGGACCGGUACUGACGCUGAAGCGCGAAAGCGUGGGGAGCAAACGGG